GACGAACCGUCCAAACGUUAUUCGGAAUCACUGGGCUUACAGAGUUCGUAGGCGGUCUGGAAAGUUGGGUGUGAAAUCCCUCGGCUCAACCGAGGAACUGCGCUUGAAACUACCAGACUCGAGGGAGAUAGAGGAAAGCGGAACUGAUGGUGGAGCGGUGAAAUGCGUUGAUAUCAUCAGGAACACCGGUGGCGAAGGCGGCUUUCUGGUCCAGCACCGACGUUCAGGCACGAAAGCGUGGGGAGCAAACAGG
rnacentral:rRNA from 1 species